GAUGAACGCUAGCGGCAGGCCUAACACAUGCAAGUCGAGGGGUAGAGUUCUUCGGGACUUGAGACCGGCGCACGGGUGCGUAACGCGUAUGCAAUCUACCUUAUACAGGGGAAUAGCCCCAGAGAAAUUUGGAUUAAUGCCCCAUAGUAUUAUUGAAUGGCAUCAUUUGAUAAUUAAAGUUCCAACGGUAUAAGAUGAGCAUGCGUCCAUUAGUUAGUUGGUAAGGUAACGGCUUACCAAGACAAUGAUGGGUAGGGUCCUGAGAGGGAGAUCCCCCGACACUGGUACUGAGACACGGACCAGACUCCUACGGGAGGCAGCAGUGAGGAAUAUUGGUCAAUGGGCGCAAGCCUGAACCAGCAUGC
rnacentral:rRNA from 1 species